rnacentral:rRNA from 1 species
GACGAACGCUGGCGGCGCGCCUAACACAUGCAAGUCGAACGGAGCUGAGAGGAGCUUGCUUUUCUUAGCUUAGUGGCGAACGGGUGAGUAACGCGUGAGUAACCUGCCCUGGAGUGGGGGACAACAGUUGGAAACGACUGCUAAUACCGCAUAAGCCCACGGCCCGGCAUCGGGCUGCGGGAAAAGGAUUUAUUCGCUUCAGGAUGGACUCGCGUCCAAUUAGCUAGUUGGUGAGGUAACGGCCCACCAAGGCGACGAUUGGUAGCCGGACUGAGAGGUUGAACGGCCACAUUGGGACUGAGACACGGCCCAGACUCCUACGGGAGGCAGCAGUGGGGGAUAUUGCACAAUGGGGGAAACCCUGAUGCAGCGACGCCGCGUGGAGGAAGAAGGUUUUCGGAUUGUAAACUCCUGUCGUUAGGGACGAUAAUGACGGUACCUAACAAGAAAGCAC